UACGUGUGGAGCAAGCGUUGUUCGGAAUUACUGGGCUUAAAGGGUGCGUAGGCGGCGAUGUAAGUCAGGGGUGAAAUCCGGCGGCUCAACCGUCGAACUGCCUCUGAUACUGCGUGGCUUGAGUGUGUUAGGGGGAAGCGGAACGAGCGGUGUAGCGGUGAAAUGCGUAGAUAUCGCUCGGAAGGCCAAUGGCGAAGGCAGCUUCCUGGGACACAACUGACGCUGAGGCACGAAAGCGUGGGGAGCAAACAGG
rnacentral:misc_RNA from 1 species